CGAAAGUCUGACGGAGCAACGCCGCGUGAGUGAUGAAGGUUUUCGGAUCGUAAAGCUCUGUUGUUAGGGAAGAACAAGUACCGUUCGAAUAGGGCGGUACCUUGACGGUACCUAACCAGAAAGCCACGGCUAACUACGUGCCAGCAGCCGCGGUAAUACGUAGGUGGCAACGUGUCGGAAUUAUUGGGCGUAAAGGGCUCGCAGGCGGUUUCUUAAGUCUGAUGUGAAAGCCCCCGGCUCAACCGGGGAGGGUCAUUGGAAACUGGGGAACUUGAGUGCAGAAGAGGAGAGUGGAAUUCCACGUGUAGCGGUGAAAUGCGUAGAGAUGUGGAGGAACACCAGUGGCGAAGGCGACUCUCUGGUCUGUAACUGACGCUGAGGAGCGAAAGCGUGGGGAGCGAACAGGAUUAGAUACCCUGGUAGUCCACGCCGUAAACGAUGAGUGCUAAGUGUUAGGGGGUUUCCGCCCCUUAGUGCUGCAGCUAACGCAUAAGCACUCCGCCUGGGAUACGGUCGCAAGACUGAAACUCAAAGGAAUUGACGGGGGCCCGCACAAGCGGUGGAGCAUGUGGUUUAAUUCGAAGCAACGCGAAGAACCUUACCAGGUCUUGACAUCCUCUGACAAUCCUAGAGAUAGGACGUCCCCUUCGGGGGCAGAGUGACAGGUGGUGCAUGGUUGUCGUCAGCUCGUGUCGUGAGAUGUUGGGUUAAGUCCCGCAACGAGCGCAACCCUUGAUCUUAGUUGCCAGCAUUCAGUUGGGCACUCUAAGGUGACUGCCGGUGACAAACCGGAGGAAGGUGGGGAUGACGUCAAAUCAUCAUGCCCCUUAUGACCUGGGCUACACACGUGCUACAAUGGACAGAAC
rnacentral:rRNA from 1 species